GGAUGUGCGGGUGAUCUGGCUGAGACAUCUGUCACCCCAUUGAUCGCCAGGGUUGAUUCGGCUGAUCUGGCUGGCUAGGAGGGUGUCCCCUUCCUCCUUCACCGCUCCAAUUGCGUCCUUCCUGAAGCUGUGCACGUGGCUGAAGACGACAGCCUUCCCCAAAUAGAGACGGAUCAGUCUUCGGUCAGUCAAGGGUAUACGAGUAGCUGCACACCCCUGCUAGAACCUCCAAACAAGUUCUCAAAAUCCUUUUGUCAUGGACAAAUUCAUGUGGUCAACCACUCAAAUAGUUAAAGAGCCAAUUCAGAUAUUAACUAAUGAUAGUUUUCUCAAUU
rnacentral:snRNA from 1 species